rnacentral:rRNA from 1 species
GUGGGGAAUAUUGGACAAUGGGCGCAAGCCUGAUCCAGCCAUGCCGCGUGAGUGAUGAAGGCCUUAGGGUUGUAAAGCUCUUUCAGUGGGGACGAUAAUGACGGUACCCACAGAAGAAGCCCCGGCUAACUUCGUGCCAGCAGCCGCGGUAAUACGAAGGGGGCUAGCGUUGUUCGGAUUUACUGGGCGUAAAGCGCACGUAGGCGGAUCGUUAAGUCGGGGGUGAAAUCCUGGAGCUAAACUCCAGAACUGCCUUCGAUACUGGCGAUCUUGAGUCCGGAAGAGGUGAGUGGAACUCCUAGUGUAGAGGUGGAAUUCGUAGAUAUUAGGAAGAACACCAGUGGCGAAGGCGGCUCACUGGUCCGGUACUGACGCUGAGGUGCGAAAGCGUGGGGAGCAAACAGGAUUAGAUACCCCAGUAGUCC